AAACCAGCACCUCAAGUGGUCAGGAUGAUUAUUGGGCCUAAAGCAUCCGUAGCCUGCUCUGUAAGUUUUCGGUUAAAUCUGUACGCUUAACGUACAGGCUGCCGGAAAUACUGCAGAGCUAGGGAGUGGGAGAGGUAGACGGUACUCUGGAGGAAGUGGUAAAAUGCUUUGAUCUCUAGAUGACCACCUGUGGCGAAGGCGGUCUACCAGAACACGUCCGACGGUGAGGGAUGAAAGCUGGGGGAGCAAACCGGAUUAGAUACCCCAGUAGUCC
rnacentral:rRNA from 1 species